rnacentral:rRNA from 4 species
CGUAGCGCGGUGGUCCCACCUGACCCCAUGCCGAACUCAGAAGUGAAACGCCGUAGCGCCGAUGGUAGUGUGGGGUCUCCCCAUGCGAGAGUAGGGA